UACGGAGGGUGCGAGCGUUAAUCGGAAUUACUGGGCGUAAAGCGCACGCAGGCGGUUUGUUAAGCAAGAUGUGAAAGCCCCGGGCUCAACCUGGGAACUGCAUUUUGAACUGGCAGACUAGAGUCUUGGAGAGGGGGGGUGGAAUUCCAGGUGUAGCGGUGAAAUGCGUAGAGAUCUGGAGGAACAUCAGUGGCGAAGGCGGCCCCCUGGCCAAAGACUGACGCUCAUGUGCGAAAGUGUAGGGCAACAGAA
rnacentral:rRNA from 1 species